rnacentral:rRNA from 1 species
UACGUAGGGGGCUAGCGUUGUCCGGAUUUAUUGGGCGUAAAGAGCGUGUAGGCGGCCAGGUAGGUCUGGUGUGAAAACUCGAGGCUUAACCUCGAGAUGUCAUCGGAAACCAUCUGGCUAGAGUCCGGAAGAGGAGAGUGGAAUUCCUGGUGUAGCGGUGAAAUGCGCAGAUAUUGGGAAGAACAUCAGUGGCGAAAGCGCUCUACUGGACCUUAUCUGACAUUGAGGGACGAAAGCUAGGGGAGCGAAUGGG